rnacentral:tRNA from 1 species
GCGUCGAUGGCUGAGUGGUCUAAGGCAGCGGAUUGCAAACCCGCUUAUAAUCGUGAGUUCGAAUCUCACUCGGCGCUCCA